UACGAUGGGAGGGCUAGCGUUGUUCGGAUUUACUGGGCGUAAAGCGCACGUAGGCGGAUCGAUCAGUCAGGGGUGAAAUCCCAGAGCUCAACUCUGGAACUGCCUUUUGAUACUGUCGAUCUGGAGUAUGGAAGAGGUGAGUGGAAUUCCGAGUGUAGAGGUGAAAUUCGUAGAUAUUCGGAGGAACACCAGUGGCGAAGGCGGCUCACUGGUCCAUUACUGACGCUGAGGUGCGAAAGCGUGGGGAGCAAACAGG
rnacentral:rRNA from 1 species